UGGGGAAUUUUGGACAAUGGGCGAAAGCCUGAUCCAGCCAUGCCGCGUGAGUGAAGAAGGCCUUCGGGUCGUAAAGCUCUUUCCGGUGGAAAGAAAACGCAUAGGUUAAUACCUUGUGCGGAUGACGGUACCAUCAGAAGAAGCACCGGCUAACUACGUGCCAGCAGCCGCGGUAAUACGUAGGGUGCAAGCGUUAAUCGGAAUUACUGGGCGUAAAGCGUGCGCAGGCGGUUAUGCAAGACAGAUGUGAAAUCCCCGGGCUCAACCUGGGAACUGCGUUUGUGACUGCAUCACUCGAGUACGGCAGAGGGAGGUGGAAUUCCGCGUGUAGCAGUGAAAUGCGUAGAUAUGCGGAGGAACACCGAUGGCGAAGGCAGCUUACUAUGGUUUUAUUGACGCUGAGGCACGAAAGCGUGGGGAUCAAACA
rnacentral:rRNA from 1 species